CGAGUGGAAUAUAGAAUACAGUGAAUUGCUAACCCCUGCACCAGUGGGAGAGGGUGGCUUAUAUAGAGUGCGCUGCCCUCCACAACGGUUCGGUGCACAGGGGUGGAGUAGUGGCGAAUAAAUGCCUACGUUACAGGUAACGUACGUCUUAAAUGCUAAUAAAGGCACAUGGAAACGUAUGACCGUUUCCCUCCACGGGGGUUACGAUGCACAGAGUGGAAUCCAGUCGGUUAGUUUGAUAAACUCCGAAUGCUAAUCUCCGGCUGGACGGUCGAGGAUCUGUUACCGACUGGAUGAAGGGAACUCCUUAGUUCAGUCGGAACUGACUAAGGGCCUUGUCCCUUAUGAGGGGUAGUCCUAGGGUUGGACCUUCAGGCCAGGCCUAUGACCCUACCCUAGGACUAUAACCCCAUCAUUAGUCCCCGAAUGGAUUGGGGUUGGAACGACGAAGCGAUGCUUGAAGUUUGGAUCCGACUGGAACGGAUGUGACUUUGGCGUUGCUUGCCUCGAUCCAUUUUAUCUUUUCGGACCAACGAUCCAAGUGGAAGUAUUGGUGGAACAAACUAUCGGAAACCGAGUG
rnacentral:lncRNA from 1 species